rnacentral:rRNA from 1 species
GACGAACGCUGGCGGCGUGCUUAACACAUGCAAGUCGAACGGAAAGGCCCUGCUUUUGUGGGGUGCUCGAGUGGCGAACGGGUGAGUAACACGGGAGUAACCUGCCCUGGACUUUGGGAUAACUUCAGGAAACUGGGGCUAAUACCGGAGAGGAGCUCCUGCUGCAUGGUGGGGGUUGGAAAGUUUCGGCGGUGGGGGAUGGACUCGCGGCUUAUCAGCUUGUUGGUGGGGUAGUGGCUUACCAAGGCUUUGACGGGUAGCCGGCCUGGGAGGGUGACCGGCGACAAUGGGACUGAGAUACGGAGCAGAGUGGUACGGGAGGCAGUAGGGGGGAGUAUUACACAGUGGGCGGGAGCGUGUGGCGGCGACGUUGCGUUCGGGAUGACGGCCUUCGGGGUGUAAACCGCUGUCGCCUGUGACGAAGCGUGAGUGACGGUACUGGGUAAAGAAGCACCGGCUAACUACGUG